CCUUCCAACCGAGGAUCUUCUUUGGCACUCCCGAUUCCCGAGUUCUGAAGACCCAAUUGAAUUCUGCUUCUCAUUCUUUACUCGUUCAACAGAAAUAUUUGAUAUGGAAGAAGUAGAACAAUCUCCAUGAGCAAUAGCUUCCUCAUGCAAAUUUUCAUUCUUGAUCGUCUAAACUAAAAACUUGGCAUCCUUCAUCUUGACUAAGUUCUCAGUAGGCUCACAUGAUUCAGACUUUAAAUAACC
rnacentral:lncRNA from 1 species